GACGAACGCUGGCGGCGUGCCUAACACAUGCAAGUCGAGCGAGUGAAUCUCCUUCGGGAGUGAAGCUAGCGGCGGACGGGUGAGUAACACGUGGGGCAACCUGCCUCAUAGAGGGGAAUAGCCUUCCGAAAGGGAAGAUUAAUACCGCAUAAGAUUGUAGCUUCGCAUGAAGUAGCAAUUAAAGGAGCAAUCCGCUAUGAGAUGGGCCCGCGGCGCAUUAGCUAGUUGGUGAGGUAACGGCUCACCAAGGCGACGAUGCGUAGCCGACCUGAGAGGGUGAUCGGCCACAUUGGGACUGAGACACGGCCCAGACUCCUACGGGAGGCAGCAGUGGGGAAUAUUGCACAAU
rnacentral:rRNA from 1 species